rnacentral:rRNA from 1 species
AUUGAACGCUGGCGGCAUGCCUAACACAUGCAAGUCGGGCGCGCGGCGGACGGGUGAGUAAUGUAUGUGGAUCUGCCUGAUGGCGGGGGAUAACUACUGUAAACGGUAGCUAAUACCGCAUACCCUCAGAUGACCCCAUAUGGGAUUAGCUAGUAGGUUAGGUAACGGCUUACCUAGGCGACGAUCCCUAGCUGGUCUGAGAGGAGUACAAGCCAAACUGGGACUGAGACACGGCCCAGACUACUAAGGGAGGCAGCAGUGGGGAAUAUUGCACAAUGGGCGCAAGCCUGAUGCAGACAUGCCGAGUGUAUGAAGAAGGCCUUCGGGUUGUAAAGUACUUUCAGUCGGGAGGCGUUACCGGCAGAAGAAGCAACGGCUAACUCCGUGCCAGCAGCCGCGGUAAUAC